rnacentral:rRNA from 1 species
AUGUCCAAACAGCGUGGCAUACGGGAGUUGAGCAGGAGGUUCAUGAGUAGCAUUGUUAGCAUGUCUCUCGUUUGUCAUCAAUUGCAAGAGAAUUGUCAACAGCUAGUCCAUGUUAGGAUAAUCGUAAGUCGAACGGGCACAAAAGUAAAUACUAGGAAAUCACUCUAUGGAGUGGCAUAUACAUAUGCUCAAUAUAACCUUGGGUGUAUUCUUUUUGCUUCCAUGUCGGAGAUUCCACUAAAAUCUGCUAUAAUCAUGGAUCCUAAAACUUCAUACAAAACUGGGACGUGGACUAAUUCGUUGAACUAG